rnacentral:rRNA from 1 species
GAUGAACGCUGGCGGCGUGCCUAAUACAUGCAAGUCGAGCGAAGAGUUGCGGAGCUUGCUCCUGUGACGUCUGCGGGGGAAGGGGGAGUAAAACGUGGAUAAACUACGUCUCAGACAGGGAUACCAUCCGUAAACACGAGCUAAAACCGGGUAUCAUAUUAAACCUCACGGUUCAUAAGUGAAAGAAGGUUUUGUGGUAACAGUUAGAUAGGUCGGCGCGGCGUUAGCUAGUUGGUAAGGUAACGGCUUACCAAGGCAACGAUGCGUAGCCGACCUGAGAGGGUGCUCGGCCACACUGGGACUGAGACACGGUCCAGACUCCUACGGGAGGCAGCCGUAGGGAAUCUUCCGCAAUGGGCGAAAGCCUGACGGAGCAACGCCGCGUGAGUGAUGAAGGCCUUCGGUUCGUAAAGCUCUGUUAUUAGGGAAGAACAAAUGUGUAUUAAACUAUGCACUUCUUGACGGUACCUAAUCAGAAAGCCACGGCUAACUACGUG